UGGGCACUUUAGGGAGACCGCCGGUGAUAAGCCGGAGGAAGGUGGGGAUGACGUCAAGUCAGCAUGCCCCUUACACCCUGGGCUACACACGUGCUACAUUGGGCGAGACAAUGAGAUGCAAAUCUGCGAAGACUAGCUAAUCUAUAAACUCGUUCUAAGUUCGGAUUGUAGGCUGCAACUCGCCUACAUGAAGGUGGAAUCGCUAGUAAUCGCUGGUCAGCUACACAGCGGUGAAUUCGUUCCCGGGCCUUGUACACACCGCCCGUCACA
rnacentral:rRNA from 13 species